GUGCACCUGACGAGUCCCAAAUAGGACGAAAUGCGCGUUAUCCUGGAU
rnacentral:hammerhead_ribozyme from 1 species